UGUAAUGUAGCUCAGUGGUAGAGUCUGUGCUAAGCAUGCACAAGAUCCUGGGUUCAAUCCUUAGCACGAAAA
rnacentral:tRNA from 1 species